UUCGCCCUUAGAGUUUGAUCCUGGCUCAGGAUGAACGCUAGCUACAGGCUUAACACAUGCAAGUCGAGGGGAAACGACAUCGAAAGCUUGCUUUUGAUGGGCGUCGACCGGCGCACGGGUGAGUAACGCGUAUCCAACCUGCCCACCACUUGGGGAUAACCUUGCGAAAGUAAGACUAAUACCCAAUGAUAUCUCAAGAAGACAUCUGAAUGAGAUUAAAGAUUCAUCGGUGAUGGAUGGGGAUGCGUCUGAUUAGCUUGUUGGCGGGGUAACGGCCCACCAAGGCUACGAUCAGUAGGGGUUCUGAGAGGAAGGUCCCCCACAUUGGAACUGAGACACGGUCCAAACUCCUACGGGAGGCAGCAGUGAGGAAUAUUGGUCAAUGGGCGAGAGCCUGAACCAGCCAAGUAGCGUGCAGGAUGACGGCCCUAUGGGUUGUAAACUGCUUUUAUAAGGGAAUAAAGUGAGUCUCGUGAGACUUUUUGCAUGUACCUUAUGAAUAAGGACCGGCUAAUUCCGUGCCAGCAGCCGCGGUAAUACGGAAGGUCCGGGCGUUAUCCGGAUUUAUUGGGUUUAAAGGGAGCGUAGGCCGGAGAUUAAGCGUGUUGUGAAAUGUAGACGCUCAACGUCUGCACUGCAGCGCGAACUGGUUUCCUUGAGUACGCACAAAGUGGGCGGAAUUCGUGGUGUAGCGGUGAAAUGCUUAGAUAUCACGAAGAACUCCGAUUGCGAAGGCAGCUCACUGGAGCGCAACUGACGCUGAAGCUCGAAAGUGCGGGUAUCGAACAGGAUUAGAUACCCUGGUAGUCCGCACGGUAAACGAUGGAUGCCCGCUGUUGGUCUGAAUAGGUCAGCGGCC
rnacentral:rRNA from 1 species